rnacentral:rRNA from 1 species
AUGUUUGAUGAGACCAAGUUUCCCUUUGCGGACCUACAUCCCAAUGCCGGUGCUCUCCUACGCAAGGAAAUCUUGCUUCUGCCACCGCAUCUCUCUGGCUAUGAUCAAGGGGGCAUUACUAAUUGUGAUGAUCAUAUGUUGACUAACCCUACUAAUCACUUUUAUGAGCCUUGUGAUGAUACAGGAAAUAGCGGCGCCAAAAUCCCAGAAAACGGUGAAGAAAACAGUGCAGCAGCUCCAUAUUUCAUGUGCCCUGACCUAGGCAGCAAAUCCCCCUCAGGAUCUGGGCAGGUGCUGCCGUUGCGCAGCGAAUCUGCCUCGGGAUCAGAACUCUGCCGCGGAUCUGCUGCACAGAAUCCGACAGGCGCGGCGGACCCUGGCAGGCCGUGGGGACUCUCCUCGCGCGCGCCAAUCGCCAGCGGACAGUUGGCGGGCCGGUGCUGGCCUGGACCGUUCGCGGCCUCAGGCCCAACCGCUUGUUUACAAGCGGCGGGCUGUGACUCGCCCGACGAGUGCGGGGAUAGAUCCUGCCGAAGCGGGGCCGGGGAAGAUCACCCUGAUCCGGGUAUGGGAUCUUCUGCGCCAGGGCUCUCUGCAGUGCAUCCUGCUACCACUUCACGUCGCACACGGCUACAACAAGGUCUGAUUAAACCCAUUGAUUAUAAACAUGUUGCAAAAUAUGGGAUGAUCUGUUCAACAGGUGAACCAGGAGAACCCAAUACUCUUGAAGAGGCCCUCGGUGAUGCACAUUGGAGAAAGGCAAUGCAUGAUGAAAUUUUGGCAUUAAGAGAAAAUAAAACAUGGCACCUGGUUCCUCCAAGACAAGGUAAAAAUCUUAUUGACUGCAAGUGGGUCUUUAGGAUAAAAAGAAAAGCUGAUGGAACUAUUGACCGCUACAAAGCCAGACUUGUUGCAAAGGGUUUUAAACAAAGGUAUGGUAUUGACUAUGAGGACACAUUUAGUCCAGUUGUUAAAGCAGCUACCAUACGCCUUGUCCUGUCCAUUGCUGUGUCUAGGGGAUGGAGUCUACGACAGCUAGACGUUCAGAACGCGUUUCUUCAUGGUGUUCUGGAAGAAGAGGUUUACAUGAAACAACCUCCUGGGUUUGUAAAUGCACAGGUACCACUUCAUGUGUGCAAACUUGACAAGGCUUUGUAUGGACUGAAACAGGCUCCAAGAGCGUGGUAUUCUCGUCUCAGUAAAAAGAUGCAAGCACUUGGUUUUAUUCCUUCAAAGUCUGACACUUCAUUAUUCACUUAUAACAAGUCAAAAAUAUCCAUAUUUGUUCUCAUUUAUGUUGAUGAUAUAAUUGUGACAAGUUCAUCUGAUGAAGAAAUAACAGCACUGUUGAAGGAUUUAAGUGCAUAA